GGCCUGUGUACCAGGCAUAUCUCUGUGUACUUUAAAAUAUGAAAUAAUUCAAUUCUCUAAGCAAUCUUAUGAAGGGUACUGUUACUAUCCCGAUUUUACAGAUGAGAAAAUUGAGACACAGAGAAGCUAAAUAAUUUGCCUAGGGACACACAGCAAGUAAGAGGAAGAGCCAGGAUUCAAACACAGGCAAUCUCACCGUGGACUCCAUGCUUCUAACUCCAGUGCCUUAUCCCAGGUAGAGAAGCAGCAAAUGUCAGGCACAGCAGCAGGACUGGAGGUGUCUGUUUCAGUAAGAACCCAUCCCUAUUACCAGAUAUUCAAACAGGGAGACAGUUGUAGUACCUUCCACUGGGCUGUGGGGUUGAGGGGAGAGCUUAUAAUGGAAAAGGAAAAGUAAAUUCAUACCAGACGUGGGAUUUCAAGUCUUAGCUUCACAAACUACCAGCUGUUCUGAGCCUCAGUUUUACCCAUCUGCAAAAUGGGGAUAAUGAUAUCUCCCUCGUAGAAGCAUGAUGAGAACUCAGUGAUGCAUGAAUAACUAUUCACACAGUGUCUAGCACAAAUUUGGUGAGUAGCAAAUACUCUCACUUCUAUAGCCCAGGUCACGCCUUCCUGGAUGGAGAUUUACUGUGAAGCCGGAUCAGGCAACACUCCUUCCUCAAGUGUCCCCAGCGUACCUGUGGCACCUGGAAAGCUGCCGCUAACAGCUUCUGCUGAACACGCAGACACAGAGGCUGUUCAGACCACAGUGAUGUGACCAGAAAUGACAGUGUGAUCCUGAG
rnacentral:lncRNA from 10 species